ACUCCUACGGGAGGCAGCAGUGGGGAAUAUUGCACAAUGGGCGCAAGCCUGAUGCAGCCAUGCCGCGUGUAUGAAGAAGGCCUUCGGGUUGUAAAGUACUUUCAGCAGUGAGGAAGGUGGGUAUGUUAAUAGCAUAUUCAUUUGACGUUAGCUGCAGAAGAAGCACCGGCUAACUCCGUGCCAGCAGCCGCGGUAAUACGGAGGGUGCGAGCGUUAAUCGGAAUUACUGGGCGUAAAGCGCAUGCAGGUGGUUUGUUAAGUCAGAUGUGAAAGCCCGGGGCUCAACCUCGGAAUUGCAUUUGAAACUGGCAAACUAGAGUACUGUAGAGGGGGGUAGAAUUUCAGGUGUAGCGGUGAAAUGCGUAGAGAUCUGAAGGAAUACCGGUGGCGAAAGGCGGCCCCCUGGACAGAUACUGACACUCAGAUGCGAAAAGCGUGGGGAGCAAACAGGAUUAGAUACCCUGGUAGCGUAG
rnacentral:rRNA from 1 species